rnacentral:rRNA from 1 species
CGUAGGGUGCAAGCGUUGUCCGGAAUUAUUGGGCGUAAAGAGCUCGUAGGCGGUCUGUUGCGUCGGCUGUGAAAACCCGGGGCUCAACCCCGGGCUUGCAGCCGAUACGGGCAGACUAGAGCUCGGCAGGGGAGACUGGAAUUCCUGGUGUAGCGGUGAAAUGCGCAGAUAUCAGGAGGAACACCGGUGGCGAAGGCGGGUCUCUGGGCCGAUACUGACGCUGAGGAGCGAAAGCGUGGGGAGCGAACAGGAUUAGAUACCCUGGUAGUCCACGCCGUAAACGUUGGGCGCUAGGUGUGGGUUCCCUUCCACGGGAUCCGUGCCGCAGCUAACGCAUUAAGCGCCCCGCCUGGGGAGUACGGCCGCAAGGCUA